UCGAAUUUAGCUGCUUAGAAAUUGAACGACACAAGCGCUUCGCAGAGGCCUUUCCAGCGACAUAUAGGAAGGAUCGCAAACAUGCGUUCAUAUAGUAUAGGAGGCGCGGUAUACGCUUGCAUGCAUACAGCCGGAAGACCAGGAUUUCUGUUUUGGUAGCUGCGGCGGUAGCAGCAGCAACCCGGAAGCAGCAGUACCGAGGGAGCGCGCGGGCGUGCGCUCUGCCUCCGUGCAGCAGGACGCCGCUCUGAACCUUGACAUUAUCUUUCUCGCCCCGGCGGCUGUGGGCCCGGGCCGGGAGACGACGACGACGCCACGGCUCGGGGUCACCUCUCCUCCGCUCCGGCUCGCAGCCCGGGCGCACCUCCUCCUCACUAGGCCCGGUCC